rnacentral:rRNA from 1 species
AUUGAACGCUGGCGGUAUGCUUAACACAUGCAAGUCGAACGGUAACAGCAGAGCUUGCUCUGGCUGACGAGUGGCGGACGGGUGAGUAAUAUAUAGUUAACCUGCCCUAGAGAAGGGGAUAACGUUUGGAAACGGACGCUAACACCUCAUAUGCCUUUAAGACAAAAGUCUGCAAGGGAAACAUUUAUGGCUCUAGGAUGGGACUGUACGGUAUCAGUUAGUUGGUGAGGUAAUGGCUCACCAAGACAAUGACACCUAACUGGUUUGAGAGGAUGAUCAGUCACACUGGAACUGAGACACGGUCCAG